GCCUCGGCCGCUGCGGGCACCAGUCCCCGGCAGGACUCACCUUCGCCGAGCAGCGGCAGCAGCAGCAGCAACCGCAGCCCCACGGUGCCGGCCGUCGCCUUCUCCAUCGCCGGUGCACGCUGGGGCCGCGGCGAGAGGGACGGUGGCUUGGGCUGGGGGUCUCGGCGGCGGGGUGCGGCGCUCAGCCGGGCUGCCCCAUGCCCGGCCGGGACGCGGUGGACGAGAUGAACACUGCGGGCGCAAAGCGUCGGGGCACGGGCUCCACGGGUCCUCUGAAGUCCAAGGAGAUGUCUGGGUGGGAGGCUGGGGGCAGUGACAUUGUGUGAAGGUUGAAGGUGUGCUCUGAGUUGUAUCCUGGCUGGGUCUCUGAUCUGUGUGACCUCGGCAAGUUUGCAACGUCUCUGGGCCUCAGGAAGGCGGAGCUCCAUCCCCCCAGGUGCCUGAAGACAGCCCUCUGCGUGGGGACCUGCUGAGGACUCAGAGUGCCGGUCGGGUGACCUGCCAUGAGAAAUGACCCUCGUGGCCAAGAGGACAACCUGGGCAGAGGCACAAGGAUCUGCUGUUUCAGUCGAGGAGCUUUAAGUCGAAGCCCUUGCCGGUCAGUCCCCGGGGUGCUUCUCUGCAGGGAGCUUCGAGCUGGGGCUUAUGCCCAGAAGCAGAUGGGCUUCACCGCAGCUGCAGGGCUGGCCUUCCUGCUGUGCCAGGCUCCUCAGCUUCGGCCAUCUGUGAUGCCAGGACUCUCCAAUCUACGGAAUGAGUCAUCGGUGGAAUCUCCUUCAGCAAAUGACCAACUCAAAGGGAGGAUGUGUCAUGCCUGGGGCGUUUUAUGAAUCUUGUUGCUUCGUCCGGCAAGCUGUGAUUCCAUCAGUAACGACACAGCCAGCACGAGCCCCAGAGUGAUGCUGGGAAAAAAACAAGGCCCAUCACACGGAGGAGGCAGCUGAGGCCCCAACCCAGCUGGGGCGAUAUCCCAGCAGCUGCACCAGUUUGCCUGCCCCUGAGUCUGCAGCCUACAAGAUGAGUGGUCCAGAGCCUGCUCAGAUGGGUGGGUGCUUCCCCCCCGAGCUCACCCCAUCUUCCUGGCCUCAGCGUCCCCCGCCUCCCGCUCUCCCUCCUUCUCACUCCACUUGGCCUCCUCCAGCCUGCUGUGCUUGUCCUUAAAUACAGCAUGUCUGUUGGUACUCGGGCCUCUGCACUGGCUGUCUGCUCUAUCUGGGAGGUGCUAGUGCCACAUGCCCUUGACCUCUCCCUACUUUGCCCAGAUGUCUGCUCAGAUGUUCCUCAGUGGCUACGCGCUAUGAAGCAGUACUCCCACGCUCUCCCCGCUCCACUUUGCUUUCCUUAGAACCCUGUUAUAUUUGCAUUGUUGUAUUUCUUUGCAUGCUCAUUUGCACGUGUGUGUGUGUGUGUGUGUGUGUGUGUGUGUGGUUUUACACUAUAACGUAAGCUUCCAAGAACAGGGAGUUUGCUCUUCUGUGUCCCUGGUGCCUAGAACAAUGCUUGGAACACAGUAGAGGCUAAAGAAAUCGCUGUUGAUUAAAUAAAUGAGAUGAUGAUGCACCCACAUCAGGACAUGUG